CCCCCAUGUUUUAGAAAAAUGGUAAGUAUUUGGACUUACUUUCUAAUUUUAUCUCUUGAAUAAAAUAUAAAAAUCUAUUGAAAGACAAUACCCUACAAGAAAGUUGAGGAGAUCAAUAACAAUGAUUUCACUUUGAUCUACAGUAAAUUAUCUUUUUCACGAUCAAGAAUCAUCACUAUUGAGUUUGAAUCGUGUGUAGACUGCAUUAUCCUUUUUCAUCAACGUUUGGUGAUCAAAAUAAAGCUUGAAUCUUUUGAGGCUCUCUAUUAAGCCCUAAGGUAACUAGGUAGUGAGUGAAGAGUGAUUUUGGGCAAAGUCACAAGGUACUAUAAGCCUUAUUUGGCUCGGAAGGGCCUAGAUCUCUAUAGAGGUUGAACAUAAAGUAUUAGGCUAUUAAUCUCAUUAAUUUCAAUGUGUAUUUCUAAGAAAAAUAGUGAAAUACUGAUAAAAAAGAUUCUUCGGGACUAAAAGUAGCUAGGUGAAGGGCAAAUUAGUAUAAAAAGUUCUUGUUUCAUAGUGAGAACUCAUUAGAAGAGAGAAAAUAAUUCUGCCCGUAGAUAAACAUGUAGAGUUAUGUUAAC
rnacentral:lncRNA from 1 species